GGGCUUUAUCACAAUGAGGUUUCUGUGUUGGAGGAGCUAAGAGGCUGGCCAGCUAAUCGUCCUCCACAGAGAGCACACAUUCCUACAGAUUAGGGCCUGUCUGAGAUGGGAAGCUGCCUCCAGGCCCCCCAAUAAGCUGCAGGCCAGGGGCCACUCCUCAGAGAGAGGGAUGGAUGGAGAGGGAAGGAGCCUGCUAUGGAUAUGUGUGCCAAGUACAUCCAGUCAUAAGGGCUCUGAGCCAGGAUCUCUGACAGAUUAGGCAAUAAUCAAUUAACAAAUUAAGAAAAAGUCAGCAUAACUACCUUGUAUCCCAUGUAUUAUAAAACACUUUGAUGUGUAGCUACAGUGACUGGCCCACUUUUUCGGGGGGGAGUAACAGAUGUUGGAAAUGGCUUUGAGAGGUAUAUUGGCUCUGAGGAAAAAAAAUUCAAGAGUAUUUAUGGUCGGAGACAUGAAAGGGUCCUGGCUUGUGGAUGCAUUUAUAUUUGAAUGGCACCCACUUCAUUACUUAAUGAUUUGAAAAGGCUG